rnacentral:rRNA from 1 species
UACGUAGGGUGCGAGCGUUGUCCGGAAUUAUUGGGCGUAAAGAGCUCGUAGGCGGUCUGUCGCGUCGGCUGUGAAAUCCCGAGGCUCAACCUCGGGUCUGCAGUCGAUACGGGCAAACUAGAGUAUUGCAGGGGAGACUGGAAUUCCUGGUGUAGCGGUGAAAUGCGCAGAUAUCAGGAGGAACACCGGUGGCGAAGGCGGGUCUCUGGGCGAAUAACUGACGCUGGAGGAGCGAAAGCGUGGGGAGCGAACAGG